rnacentral:lncRNA from 1 species
AUGUCUCUGCCCCAGCCGUCCCGGGCCACCGGGAUUCCGCUGCCCCCGCCCCCAGGUAGAACUGGCCCGGGUCAGGCCGACCCUGGAGGCGGACGGUGUCGUGUGUGCCACAUGCAGCUGGGUGUGUCAUGCAUGCGUCUCCCUUGUGCGCUGCGGACGCCUCACACCAAAACUGCCCGUUUCACACAUUUUCUGGUCACCAAGCAAGACUACGGGGAAUCCCAGGAACUGAACAUCUUUGUCCCCGAGGAACGCGGCAGCUCGAGUGCGGCUGGUCCUGCCCAGCGAGCGCAGCGCGGGCUCCAGCGGCCGGUGGGACACACGGUGGCCCGCGUCCCAGGGAACGCACGGCCUCCUCCUGCCUCCAAGCCUCUGCGCAAAUUCACAGCUUCAGAAGUUCCUCGGAGACCCUUCCAGAAAGCUGAGCAGCACCACAAAGCCCUUCGGAAGCCCUGGAAGAGUCUCAUUCAACAAACGACUCAGCAUCUGCUACAGGCCGAGGGAGCCACGCACGCAUCCUGCGGCCGGUUCCGAGGCUUGGCCAUGGCAGGUGCACAGACGUCGUCUCGGCCCCAACGUGCGGUGGUGCAAGGGUGGCAGGUGACAGGCGCGAGGAGAGCAGCCGGGGCCCAGGAGUCCGCGGGAGCCCUGCGGCCGCAGCAAGCACAGGGGGAAGGCAAGCCCACGAGUGGGUGUCACUCUGCACGCAGUGGGGAAGGACAGAAGGUUCUGGAGAGCAGGCAGUGGCCCCAGGAGACUAGGGCCCGGGGGUUGGCGGGAAGGCCCGGGCCCCGACAGCUGCUCCUAACGGGGUGGCCGGAGGUACAGCAGGCCCGCUGGCUUCCGAUCCACGCUCACGGCCCCGGGCCCACAGGUGCUCUCGGGGCGAGGCCGGCACUGUCACAGCCGCCUGCGGGCUCCGGCCGGACUCCAGGUUGCAGCUACUUUGUAAAAACGAACGGGACGCGCUGCCCCCAGAACGGUGAUGGCUCGGAAACCUGCUCCCCAGCCGGGACAAGUGCACAGGGACCACAGGAGUCUCCCGAUGACCUCUGCCCUCGAAACCCUGCAAGCAGCACGGAUCAGCCCCCGCUUCACCGGACACACGCUGCGAGGGGCAAGGCCCACCCCGGGGCCUCGAGAUAG